AUGGCGCGUGCUGCCUUUGCCCACUUCUCCAGCAUUAUUGGCCAUGCUGAGACACGCGAAUUCAGUCUUUGUUUAAGUGCAAUGGACCCUCGCCGCUUCGACCUUGCUGAGCUUGAUCGCCCGUUCACUGAGGACGAGAUUUGGAGGGCUAUGGAAAUGCUACCUCUCGGGAAAGCACCCAGUAUGGAUGGGUUCACCGCCGAAUUCCUCCGUGCAUGCUGGAGCACCAUUAAGGGCGACGUCUGUGCGGUCUUCGACAAGAUCUAUUCAAUGAAUGCAUGUGGUUUUCAGAAGCUUAACCAAGCGCUCAUUACACUCGUCCCCAGGAAGUUCGAUGCUUCAACCCAAUCUGAUUACCACCCCAUCAGUUUGAUCCACUGUCGUGGUUCUAAGUCUGACAGUAGAAAGGGGGGUAGGUAUGGAGAGGCAAGAUCUUAG
rnacentral:rRNA from 1 species